AUUGAACGCUGGCGGCAGGCCUAACACAUGCAAGUCGAACGAGUGGCGGAAGGGUGAGUAAUGUCUGGGAAACUGCCUGAUGGAGGGGGAUAACUACUGGAAACGGUAGCUAAUACCGCAUACCAUCGGAUGUGCCCAGAUGGGAUUAGCUAGUAGGUGGGGUAAAGGCUCAACUAGGCGACGAUCCCUAGCUGGUCUGCGAGGAUUAACAGACACACUGGCAAUUGGACACGUGCCAGACCCCUCCGGGAGGGAGCAGUUGGGAAUAUUGCACAAUGGGCGCAAACCUGAUGCAGCCAUGCAGGGGGUAUGAAGAAAGUCUUCGGGUUGUAAAGCACUUUCAGCGGGGAGGCGUUACCCGCAGAAGAAGCACCGGCUAACUCCGUGCCAGCAGCCGCGGUAAUAC
rnacentral:rRNA from 1 species